rnacentral:pre_miRNA from 1 species
UCUGCACAUCUUUGCAUUCAAUGUCAAAUUUGUUCAAAAUUCUAAGAAGAUGAAUUUUGAACAAAUUUGACAUUGAAUGCAAAGAUACUCUA